rfam:Xiphophorus maculatus strain JP 163 A Contig3.221, whole genome shotgun sequence.
AGCAUUAAGGUGGGUGGAAUAUUAUAACAAUAUCCCCCAUGUUGUUAUAGUAUUCCACCUACCCUGAUGUC